UUUCUUCUUCUUGUUCUUCCCUUUGUCUC
rnacentral:sRNA from 1 species